UCCAGCUCUCAAAAUGCAUAGAAUCAUUGCUGCGGUUAAAAAGCUCGUAGUUGGAUCUGUGCUGGCGGGUCGGUCCACCUUCGGGUGCGCACUGAUUUCGCCGGCUUUUCUGCUGUAUUUGGCCCAGUGCCUUUCAACGGGUGCUGUGUCCAGUGCAGCAAGUUUACCUUGAACAAAUCAGAGUGCUUCAAACAGGCGUUUCGCUUGAAUGUUCGUGCAUGGAAUAAUAGAAGAGGAUUUCGGUUCUAUUUUAUUGGUUUUAUAGACUGAGAUAAUGGUUAACAGAGACUAACGGGGGCAUUAGUAUUGCUACGUGAGAGGUGAAAUUCUUGGACCGUAGCAAGACUGACUACAGCGAAAGCAUUUGCCAAGAAAGUCUUCAUUAAUCAAGAACGAAAGUCAGAGGUUCGAAGGCGAUCAGAUACCGCCCUAGUU
rnacentral:rRNA from 1 species